rnacentral:misc_RNA from 1 species
GAUGAAGAACGUAGCGAAAUGCGAUAAGUAGUGUGAAUCGCAGAAUUCAGUGAAUCAUCGAAUCUUUGAACGCACAUUGCGCCCCUUGGUAUUCCAUGGGGCAUGCCUGUUCGAGCGUCAUUUGUACCUUCAAGCUUUGCUUGGUGUUGGGUGUUUGUCCCUCGGGACUCGCCUUAAAGUCAUUGGCAGCCAGUGUUUUGGUUUUGAAGCGCAGCACAAGUCGCGAUUCAAGGCUAUCCGCCCGCUUCCACAAGCCUUUUUCACUUUUGACCUCGGAUCAGGUAGGGAUACCCGCUGAACUUAAGCAUAUCAAUAAGCGGAGGA